GGACAGGGAACUUGUUCUAAGAGAAGGGUCAGUUAGCCAGGCAGCGUGGCGUCCUGCUUCUGGGGAGUCGUCCUGCUUCUGGGGAGUCCCCUCUGUACGAGGAGGCCUCCGUUCCCAGUAAGAGGCAGUUUAGAAGUUAAAGCAAUCUGGAGCUUCCACUUCAGAAGGGGCUGCUCCGGAGGCUACAGAAAAACCAGUUUUCAGGAAGUUGCCCUUAGUUUCAGAGGGUGUCUGUUCCACCACGGCUACUUCUGCAGGGUCCUGGCAGCCAGAAGUCCCUGAUGGAGGUGUCAGCAGGGCCAGCCUCUCUCCUGGCUCUGGGGAGCGUCCUUCCGGUCCUUCCUGGUAACUGGCCAUCCGUGGGGUUCCUCAGCUUGUGGCCUGUCCGCACAUGGCCAAUUUUUUCAGAAAGGUAUAGUGCGCCUGGGUGGUUUGGGUGACUUCUCCAGGUUGCACCUUAGCUGACGUGCUGAUGCCUCGGUGGGGCAGGGAGCCCUCGCUGACCAGAAGCAUCUCUCUUGAGCCUGGUACUGGUCUGAGGAAAGAGCAAUCAGGGCUGGUCAGGGGGAAGAUGGUCACUAACAAGCUGCUCAGUGCAACAUUUUUUCUUUCUUUUGUGUGCUAGGGAUGGAACCGAAGUCCUUUUGAAGUAGGACAGAAGAAAUUAGAAGAAAAAACCAGGUAGACAGGACCCUGAAGGAGUGACAGGGAGCCAGGCUGUGGGUCAGAAGGGCCGCCUGUCACUCCCGGAUUCCUGGGAAAUCCGUGACUCUGCCUAUGCAGAGCUAAUCCACCCCAGAACAUAGAAGCAGCAAGAGAGGACGUUUUAAGAAAUCUAUAGCUUAGGAGACCUUCCAUUCCUAUUUACGGAUCAGAUAACAGACCAUGUCAGCCUCAGGAUCUCAGAGUGACCAGACCCAUGUCACCCACACAGCUUCCCGUGCCCACCCCUCCCUAAGAUUGCUUUGAAGAGGAGCCCUCGGGACCUCUCCCUCUGGAGAUGGCUGCAUCCAACCUGGAGGGCGCAUCUGCUUCCUACACAAGCCUCUCUCCAUGCCCAGGGCUGGCAAGCACUGGAAUUCUUUUCUGUCACAUGAGCCAAGGGCCCCAUUGAGCCUGAGUCAGUUCUCUGCUCUCUCCAGGAACUUCACCCUUCUCCUGGGCCACCUCUUCUCCAGUGACACUUGUACUCACUGAGUACAGGCUGCACGCUAAGUUAUGCUCUGGCCCCCGGCCCAUGUGCUGGGAUCCUGUCUGUGCCUGGCACUGUCCCGGAC
rnacentral:lncRNA from 1 species